CCUACGGGAGGCAGCAGUGAGGAAUAUUGGUCAAUGGGCGCGAGCCUGAACCAGCCAAGUAGCGUGAAGGAUGACUGCCCUACGGGUUGUAAACUGCUUUUAUAAAGGAAUAAAGUGAGGCACGUGUGCCUUUUUGUAUGUAUUUUAUGAAUAAGGAUCGGCUAACUCCGUGCCAGCAGCCGCGGUAAUACGGAGGAUCCGAGCGUUAUCCGGAUUUAUUGGGUUUAAAGGGUGCGUAGAGGGGUUGUUAAGUCAGUUGUGAAAUUUUGCGGCUCAACCGUAAAAUUGCAAUUGAUACUGGCCGGCUAGAGUACAGUUGAGGUAGGCGGAAUGCAUGGUGUAGCGGUGAAAUGCUUAGAGAUCACGAAGAACUCCGAUUGCGAAGGCAGCUUACUAAACUGCCACUGACAUUGAUGCUCGAAAGUGUGGGUAUCAAACAGGAUUAGAUACCCCGGUAGUC
rnacentral:rRNA from 1 species